rnacentral:rRNA from 1 species
GACGAACGCUGGCGGCGUGCCUAAUACAUGCAAGUAGACCUGAGUUGCGAACGGGUGAGUAACGCGUAGGUAACCUGCCCCACAGCGGGGGAUAACCAUUUGGAACGAUUGCUAAUACCGCCUACUGUGAGCUGUACCUGUGUUGUAUUAGUUAGUUGGUGAGGUAACGGCUAACCAAGGCGACGAUCCAUGGCCGACUUGAGCGGGUGAGAGGCCACACUGGAACGUAGACACGGCCCAGACUCCUAAGGGAGGCAGCAGGAGGGAGUCUUCGGCAAUGGACGAAAGUCUGACCGAGCAACGCCGCGUGAGUGAAGAAGGUUUUCGGAUCGUAAAACUCUGUUGUUAGUGAAGCGGUAUCUAACCAGGAAGCCACGGCUAACUACGUGCCAGCAGCCGCGGUAAUUC